UCGUCGUCGACGUCCCGGCCCUUCUUUGCCGAUGCCGUCCCCGCGGCCCCUCCGGCGCCCGGCGGCAUGAGGAAUCCGGGACCGUCGGCCAG
rnacentral:SRP_RNA from 16 species